rnacentral:rRNA from 1 species
AGAGUUUGAUCCUGGCUCAGAUUGAACGCUGGCGGUAUGCUUAACACAUGCAAGUCGAACGGUAACAGGCCGCUGGGAUCCCUUCGGGGUGACCUUGGCGCUGACGAGUGGCGGACGGGUGAGUAAUACUUAGGAAUCUGCCCAGUAGCGGGGGACAACUCGAGGAAACUCGAGCUAAUACCGCAUACGCCCUACGGGGGAAAGCGGGGGAUCUUCGGACCUCGCACUAUUGGAUGAGCCUAAGUCGGAUUAGCUUGUUGGUGAGGUAAUGGCUCACCAAGGCGACGAUCCGUAGCUGGUCUGAGAGGACGACCAGCCACACUGGGACUGAGACACGGCCCAGACUCCUACGGGAGGCAGCAGUGGGGAAUAUUGGACAAUGGGCGCAAGCCUGAUCCAGCAAUACCGCGUGUGUGAAGAAGGCCUGCGGGUUGUAAAGCACUUUCAGUGGGGAAGAAAUGUCUGAGGUUAAUAACCUCGGAUCUUGACGUAACCUACAGAAGAAGCACCGGCUAACUCCGUGCCAGCAGCCGCGGUAAUACGGGGGGUGCAAGCGUUAAUCGGAAUUACUGGGCGUAAAGCGCGCGUAGGCGGCUUUGUAAGUCGGAUGUGAAAGCCCUGGGCUCAACCUGGGAACUGCAUUCGAAACUGCAUGGCUAGAGUAUGGGAGAGGGAAGUGGAAUUUCCGGUGUAGCGGUG